rnacentral:rRNA from 1 species
CCCCGGUAAACGGCGGCCGUAACUAUAACGGUCCUAAGGUAGCGAAAUUCCUUGUCGGGUAAGUUCCGACCUGCACGAAUGGCGUAAUGAUGGCCAGGCUGUCUCCACCCGAGACUCAGUGAAAUUGAACUCGCUGUGAAGAUGCAGUGUACCCGCGGCAAGACGGAAAGACCCCGUGAACCUUUACUAUAGCUUGACACUGAACAUUGAGCCUUGAUGUGUAGGAUAGGUGGGAGGCUUUGAAGUGUGGACGCCAGUCUGCAUGGAGCCGACCUUGAAAUACCACCCUUUAAUGUUUGAUGUUCUAACGUGGACCCGUAAUCCGGGUUGCGGACAGUGUCUGGUGGGUAGUUUGACUGGGGCGGUCUCCUCCUAAAGAGUAACGGAGGAGCACGAAGGUUGGCUAAUCCUGGUCGGACAUCAGGAGGUUAGUGCAAUGGCAUAAGCCAGCUUGACUGCGAGCGUGACGGCGCGAGCAGGUGCGAAAGCAGGUCAUAGUGAUCCGGUGGUUCUGAAUGGAAGGGCCAUCGCUCAACGGAUAAAAGGUACUCCGGGGAUAACAGGCUGAUACCGCCCAAGAGUUCAUAUCGACGGCGGUGUUUGGCACCUCGAUGUCGGCUCAUCACAUCCUGGGGCUGAAGUAGGUCCCAAGGGUAUGGCUGUUCGCCAUUUAAAGUGGUACGCGAGCUGGGUUUAGAACGUCGUGAGACAGUUCGGUCCCUAUCUGCCGUGGGCGCUGGAGAACUGAGGGGGGC